UACGGAGGGUGCAAGCGUUAUCCGGAUUCACUGGGUUUAAAGGGUGCGUAGGUGGGCAGGUAAGUCAGUGGUGAAAUCUCCGGGCUUAACCCGGAAACUGCCAUUGAUACUAUCUGUCUUGAAUAUCGUGGAGGUGAGCGGAAUAUGUCAUGUAGCGGUGAAAUGCUUAGAUAUGACAUAGAACACCAAUUGCGAAGGCAGCUCACUACGCGAAUAUUGACACUGAGGCACGGAAAGCGUGGGGAUCAAAACAGG
rnacentral:rRNA from 1 species